AAGCCACUCUGUUGACACCAAUUAAAUGUUUUCAGAUUUACACCAAUAAAACUGGGAUCACAGUCUGGCAUUAACUCUAAAUCAUCUGGUUCUAAAUUGGAUCAUUACAGCUUUCUAAUUAGUGUAGUAAAACCAGGACUUUCUUAUAGAGUUUUGAUUGGAAAAAUUAGCCCUUUUAGUUGUGUUUUGUGAGUCCUAAACUUGAAAGGAAACACAAGCUCUCAACACACGCAAUCAAUCAGUGAUCCCCUUCCAGUUCCUGCUGAGCUUCUACUUACAGUAAGUGGAAACCUGUUACAGAAACCCCAGUCACUAACAGGAUGUACUAACCUAGGAUGGACUAAAGAGACCCAGUGAGUAAUACAGACUAUGAAGUGUUUACGCAGAUUUCACACUGCAUAAAAUGUGACAGACAUUAAAUGGAAAAUAUAUCCUCUAAACAUGUACUCUGGCACCAUUUUAUUUGCCUUUAAAAAGUGAAGCAUUCCUGAUUUCUGAAAGCCAUGGAACAAUAUUCUUCACUAUUCUUCAUGUGGCACAUCUCCACCAAACUCCUGGCGUCUUCAUCCUCUCUUCUGCCAGUUGGGUGUCUCCAGGCCUUCCUCUUGCGGAGGGCUGCGUGGACUUUCCUGAGCAGACGUUCCCGAUCAAAACACAUGUACCGUCGUUCCCAUGAAGGAGGUUUAAAGUGAUUUAUAGAUGCAGUUAGUGCUGAAGAAAGGAAUAUCCUUUGGCACUGCUUCCCUUACAAACCCGACCCGAGAAACCAGAAAAGACUGAAUAUGGUAGACUGAAGAUUAUGGUACCAUCCCUCCCAAUCUUCUGAGAACAGAAGAAGCUACACCCUGGAUCAUCUUCUGGUUGAAAUGAUUUAAGCUGCAGAAAGGGCUGAAAAGAAGUACAGAUGAGACCA